UAGGUAACCUGCCCAUGUGCCCGGGAUAACUUCUGGAAACGGAUGCUAAAACCGGAUAGGUAGCAGACAAGCAUUUGACUGCUAUUAAAGUGGCUAAGGCCAUGAACAUGGAUGGACCUGCGGUGCAUUAGCUAGUUGGUGAGGUAACGGCCCACCAAGGCGACGAUGCAUAGCCGGCCUGAGAGAGUGAACGGCCACAUUGGGACUGAGACUCGGCCCAAACUCCUACGGGAGGCAGCAUG
rnacentral:rRNA from 1 species